rnacentral:rRNA from 1 species
UUGGAGGGCAAGUCUGGUGCCAGCAGCCGCGGUAAUUCCAGCUCCAAUAGCGUAUAUUAAAGUUGUUGCAGUUAAAAAGCUCGUAGUUGAAUUUCGGGAUCAAAUUGUCGGUCGUGCCUCGGUACGCACUGGUAUUAUUGGUUCCUACCUUCUGAAGAACCGCGAUGUCAUUAAUUUGGUGUCGUGGGGAAUCAGGACUGUUACUUUGAAAAAAUUAGAGUGUUUAAAGCAGGCUUACGCUUGAAUACAUUAGCAUGGAAUAAUGAAAUAGGACGUUUGAUUCUAUUUUGUUGGUUUCUAGGAUCGACGUAAUGAUUAAUAGGGAUAGUUGGGGGCAUUAGUAUUCAAUUGUCAGAGGUGAAAUUCUUGGAUUUAUUGAAGACUAACUACUGCGAAAGCAUUUGCCAAGGAUGUUUUCAUUAAUCAAGAACGAAAGUUAGGGGAUCGAAGACGAUCAGAUACCGUCGUAGUCUUAACCAUAAACUAUGCCGACUAGGGAUCGGAUGAUGUUAAUUUUUUAAUGACUCAUUCGGCGCCUUACGGGAAAC